rnacentral:rRNA from 1 species
UUAUGGCUCAGAUUGAACGCUGGCGGCAGGCCUAACACAUGCAAGUCGAACGGUAACAGGAGAAGCUUGCUCUUGCUGACGAGUGGCGGACGGGUGAGUAAUGUCUGGGAAACUGCCUGAUGGAGGGGGAUAACUACUGGAAACGGUAGCUAAUACCGCAUAACGUCGCAAGACCAAAGAGGGGGACCUUCGGGCCUCUUGCCAUCGGAUGUGCCCAGAUGGGAUUAGCUAGUAGGUGGGGUAACGGCUCACCUAGGCGACGAUCCCUAGCUGGUCUGAGAGGAUGACCAGCCACACUGGAACUGAGACACGGUCCAGACUCCUACGGGAGGCAGCAGUGGGGAAUAUUGCACAAUGGGCGCAAGCCUGAUGCAGCCAUGCCGCGUGUAUGAAGAAGGCCUUCGGGUUGUAAAGUACUUUCAGCGGGGAGGAAGGGAGUAAAGUUAAUACCUUUGCUCAUUGACGUUACCCGCAGAAGAAGCACCGGCUAACUCCGUGCCAGCAGCGGC